AGCGCGCCCCUUUCUGCCGCACCCAGCCAAUAUGCACGGGAGCGGAUAAUCUCCUAAAUUCUAAAUAAGAAUUGUUCGAUCUGACAAUUAGAGCCGGUAUCUUAGUGCAUCACUCAGCAAUUCGGAUUGAUAGUUCUAUUUUAGAACGAUAUCAAUCGGCCCUGGUCGCUGCGGUCAUCGCUCAGCGCAGGCGCGCGACUUUUGAUCAUUCAAAGGGG
rnacentral:misc_RNA from 1 species